rnacentral:rRNA from 1 species
CAGUCGCCGCGGUAAUACGGAGGGUGCAAGCGUUAAUCGGAAUUACUGGGCGUAAAGCGCACGCAGGCGGUCUGACAAGUCAGAUGUGAAAUCCCCGGGCUUAACCUGGGAACUGCAUUUGAAACUGUCAGGCUGGAGUCUUGUAGAGGGGGGUGGAAUUCCAGGUGUAGCGGUGAAAUGCGUAGAGAUCUGGAGGAAUACCGGUGGCGAAGGCGGCCCCCUGGACAAAGACUGACGCUCAGGUGCGAAAGCGUGGGGAGCAAACAGGAUUAGAUACCCCUGUAGUACCUGUCUCUUAUAC